GAGCCCUUGUUAGUCGUGGGCCGUGGAUCUAGUGGCUCGUGUCUAAGCCGGAGCCAGUGGCCCAGGCGGACACCCCCGGCCCACCCCCGACUGCCGCGUGGUCUUAAGAGAAUCGGGCUUCAAUGCUGACUGUUGAAAGCUCGUCCGUAGGAGACGCGCGGCCAGGCAUGAGGCCAGACAUGAGUCGCUGCGGGUGCAGGGCCCGACUCGGGGUGAGGAGGCCGCUUACCGCCGCGACGCGGGCGGUGGCGCUUGCGGGUCCUGCACUCCGGGAACCAGUGAGGGUGGCCAAGCAACGCUGGGCCUUCGCGGACAUGGCGAGCGUCUUCCUCGGUCGUCAGUUUACUUCGGGGCGCUGACGAAGGGGGCCAGGCAGGAAAAGCCCUAAGCCGUGGCGCCGCGCAAAUCACGCGGGACGGAGAGGUGACGGCGGUUACGGUCAGUGUCUGGGCUGAGCGCACUUGCUCAGUGCUGUACAGGAAUAGAGACUCACGUGUCAUUUUAAUUUUUGUAAUUUGAUGAGUGAGAAAGUUCCAGAAACGUGGGAGAAUAGUUAAUGGAAAGAUCCGACUCUCCUACCGCGGACGUGUCGCACGAGCACGUCCAAUUCGCGCGUGGACUGAGUGGACGACUUGUCUCCUGGCGUUCUGGACGCUGGAUAAUGCAGCUGCGGGUCGGAGGUGUAGGUGGCGCGGCUUCUGACGUGAAUUGCCUGUUGAGGGUCGCUGUCUGCCAAUUCAAAGACGACGGCUUUCUGUGAAAUUCCUACAUUGCAGCAAUUUCUGACCAGUACGGUGAAGUUUGCUGGUCUCUUAUGUGAAAAGCUGGUGAUAACAAAGACAUCCAGAAAAAGCUCUUCAUUUUCCCAACAUGAAAGGAAAUUUUGAUCAUAUUGAUUUUUCUUUUGUCAAUAAAUCAUGUAAUGUUUAUGGAAAA